rnacentral:rRNA from 1 species
AUUGAACGCUGGCGGCAGGCCUAACACAUGCAAGUCGAACGGUAGCACAGAGGAGCUUGCUCCUUGGGUGACGAGUGGCGGACGGGUGAGUAAUGUCUGGGAAACUGCCUGAUGGAGGGGGAUAACUACUGGAAACGGUAGCUAAUACCGCAUAACGUCGCAAGACCAAAGAGGGGGACCUUCGGGCCUCUUGCCAUCAGAUGUGCCCAGAUGGGAUUAGCUAGUAGGUGGGGUAAUGGCUCACCUAGGCGACGAUCCCUAGCUGGUCUGAGGGGAGGACCAGCCACACUAGAACUGAGACACUGGCCAGACCCCUACGGGAGGCAGCAGUGGGGAAUAUUGAGCAAUGGGCGCAAGCCGGAUGCAGCCAUGCCGCGUGUAUGAAGAAGGCCUUCGGGUUGUAAAGUACUUUCAGCGGGGAGGAAGGCGAUACGGUUAAUAACCGUGUCGAUUGACGUUACCCGCAGAAGAAGCACCGGCUAACUCCGUGCCAGCAGCCGCCGUAA